rfam:Dipodomys ordii contig_61026, whole genome shotgun sequence.
GGGAAGUUGGCUCAGUGGUAGAGUUGCUUGCCUUGCAUGCAUGAGGCCUUGGGUUCAAUUCCUCAGCAUCACA